rnacentral:rRNA from 1 species
CGCGGCUUACACAUGCAGUCGAGCGGGGAAGUAUAGCUUGCUAUACGACCUAGCGGCGGACGGGUGAGUAAUGCUUAGGAAUCUGCCUAUUAGUGGGGGACAACAUUCCGAAAGGAAUGCUAAUACCGCAUACGCCCUACGGGGGAAAGCAGGGGAUCUUCGGACCUUGCGCUAAUAGAUGAGCCUAAGUCAGAUUAGCUAGUUGGUGGGGUAAAGGCCUACCAAGGCGACGAUCUGUAGCGGGUCUGAGAGGAUGAUCCGCCACACUGGGACUGAGACACGGCCCAGACUCCUACGGGAGGCAGCAGUGGGGAAUAUUGGACAAUGGGCGAAAGCCUGAUCCAGCCAUGCCGCGUGUGUGAAGAAGGCCUUUUGGUUGUAAAGCACUUUAAGCGAGGAGGAGGCUACUUAGAUUAAUACUCUAGGAUAGUGGACGUUACUCGCAGAAUAAGCACCGGCUAACUCUGUGCCAGCAGCCGCGGUAAUACAGAGGGUGCGAGCGUUAAUCGGAUUUACUGGGCGUAAAGCGUGCGUAGGCGGCUUCUUAAGUCGGAUGUGAAAUCCCUGAGCUUAACUUAGGAAUUGCAUUCGAUACUGGGAAGCUAGAGUAUGGGAGAGGAUGGUAGAAUUCCAGGUGUAGCGGUGAAAUGCGUAGAGAUCUGGAGGAAUACCGAUGGCGAAGGCAGCCAUCUGGCCUAAUACUGACGCUGAGGUACGAAAGCAUG